CCGGUUGAUCCUGCCGGCGGCCACCGCUAUUGGAUUUCGAUUAAGACAUGCGAGUCGAGAGGGUUUAGACCCUCGGCGCACUGCUCAGUAACACGCGGAUAAUCUGCCCUUAGGUGAGGGAUAAUCUCGGGAAACUGAGGACAAUACCUCAUAGACCUGGUAUGCUGGAAGGCUUCCAGGUUUAAAGGCAACGCCUAAGGAUGAGUCUGCGGCCUAUCAGGUUGUAGUGGGUGUAACGUACCUACUAGCCUUCGACGGGUACGGGCUUUGGGAGAAGUUGCCCGGAGAUGGAUUCUGAGACACGAAUCCAGGCCCUACGGGGCGCAGCAGUUACGAAAACUUGCCAAUGGGGGAAACCCCAAGCAGGGAAAUCCAAGUGCAUGCACAUAGUGUAUGCUGUUCUUUAGCCUAAAAAGCUUAAGGAGUAAGGGCUGGGUAAGACGGGUGCCAGCCGCCGCGGUAAUACCCGCAGCCCGAGUGGUGGUCACUUUUAUUGAGCCUAAAGCGUCCGUAGCCGGACAGAUAAAUCCUUGGUGAAAUCGAACAGCUUAACUGUUCGAAGUCCGGGGAGACUGUUUGUCUUGGAACCGGGAGAGGUCAGAGGUACUUCUGGGGUAGGGGUAAUAUCCUGUAAUCCUUGAAGGACCACCAGUGGCGAAGGCGUCUGACUUGAACGGAUUCGACGGUGAGGGACGAAGCCCAGGGUCGCAAACGGGAUUAGAUACCCCGGUAGUCCUGGGUGUAAACGCUGCUGGCUUGGUGUCGGGGAUCCUACGUGGGUGCCCGGUGCCGGAGAGAAGUUGUUAAGCCAGCCGCUUGGGGAGUACGGUCGCAAGACUGAAACUUAAAGGAAUUGGCGGGAGAGCACAGCAACGGGAGGAGCGUGCGGUUCAAUUGGAUUCAACGCCGGAAAACUCACCGGGAGCGACUGUUACAUGUGAGCCAAGCCGAUGACUUUGCUUGAAUUACAGAGAGGUGGUGCAUGGCCGUCGUCAGUUCGUACCGUAAGGCGUUUUGUUAAGUCAAAUAACGAACGAGACCCUCAUCCCUAGUUGCCACCCGUCCCUCCGGGGACGGAGCGAGCCUUCGGGCUUUUACUCUAGGGAGACCGCUGGUGCUAAAUCAGAGGAAGGGGAGGUCAACGGUAGGUCAGUAUGCCCCGAAUCCCCCGGGCUACACGCGCGCUACAAAGGAUGGGACAAUGGGUUCCGACACCGAAAGGUGAAGGUAAUCCCGAAACCCAUUCAUAGUCUGAAUUGAGGGCUGUAACUCGCCCUCAUGAAACUGGAUUCCGUAGUAAUCGCGGAUCAACAUCCCGCGGUGAAUAUGCCCCUGCUCUUUGCACACACCGCCCGU
rnacentral:rRNA from 1 species